AUGUCCAAGAACAAGUUCCUCUUCACUUCCGAAUCUGUCUCCGAGGGACAUCCGGACAAGAUGUGUGACCAGAUCUCCGAUGCGGUCCUCGAUGCUCACUUGGCUCAGGAUCCUCACGCCAAGGUUGCUUGUGGUAAGUUUUACAGAAACUGUUGGCGUCCUUUUCAGCAAACUUCGAAUAUGGACACACCGAAUUGGCUGUUCUCUGGGUGACAAGAGGAUGAAACUUAUCGCAACAAUAUGUUUCUUUACCUGUUACAACGGUUACUUUGAUUACAGAAACGGUGACCAAAACGGGUAUGAUCAUGUUGUGCGGUGAGAUCACCUCAAAAGCUGUCGUCGACUAUCAAGUUCUCGUCCGAAACGUCAUUAAGAAAAUUGGAUAUGAUGAUUCCUCGAAAGGAUUUGACUACAAGACAUGCAAUGUUCUUGUUGCUCUUGAGCAACAGUCUCCGGAAAUCGCCGCUGGAGUUCAUGUGGAUAAGGAUAUUGCUGAUGUUGGUGCAGGAGAUCAAGGAAUCAUGUUUGGAUAUGCCACCGAUGAGACCGAAGAAGCCAUGCCUUUGACUCUUCUCUUGUCGCACAAGCUCAACUACAAGCUUCAUGAGCUUCGUCGUUCUGGAGAGCUCGAAUGGGUUCGUCCAGACUCGAAGACUCAAGUCACUAUUGAGUAUUCAUCCGAGGGAGGAGCUUGUGUCCCACUUCGUGUUCACACUGUCGUCAUCUCUACCCAACAUUCGCCAGAUAUCAGUCUAGAGGAUUUGAGAAAGGAACUCAUUGAGAAGGUUAUCAAAGUGGUCAUUCCUGGAAAUCUUAUCGACAACGACACCGUCUACCAUCUCAAUCCAUGCGGAUCAUUUGUCGUUGGUGGACCAAUGGGUGAUGCUGGACUUACUGGACGUAAGAUCAUCGUAGACACCUACGGAGGAUGGGGAGCUCACGGAGGAGGUGCUUUCUCUGGAAAGGACCCAACCAAAGUCGAUCGUUCUGCCGCUUAUGCUGCUCGCUGGGUUGCCAAGUCACUUGUCAAGGCUGGUCUCUGCCGUCGUUGUCUCGUUCAAGUUUCCUAUGCUAUCGGAGUUGCUAAGCCGCUUUCGGUGAUGGUCUUCUCGUUUGGAACUUCUGCACUCAACGAGGCUGAACUCUUGAAGAUUGUCAACGACAACUUUGACUUGAGACCAGGAAUGAUCAUCAAAAAUCUGGACUUGAAGAGAGCCAUCUAUGAGCCAACCGCUGAAAAUGGUCACUUCGGUCACAACGAUUUUCCAUGGGAGCAGGCUCGUAAGCUCAAGAUUGAUAAAGAUCUCCGCGCCAAAUCCAAAGGACCAGCUCUCGUUGAUGCUAUUGGAAUUGCUCAUUAA